rnacentral:lncRNA from 1 species
CAUGAGUUUGCCUCUGUUUUCUUAUGAUCUGGUUCAAGAUCUGCUUCUGGAGAGCUCAGGCGUAUUUUGGCAGAAUUAUGUUUUCUGGCCUAAAUAGUAGGUGAUAGUAAAAUCACCUAAAUAGUAGACCAUGGAGGCCAUUGUUAAUACUCUAAAUCAGUCAUUUAAACGAUCUUCUAAAACAAGAAAGCCACAAAACAAUCUAACAUUCAGGAAAGGAAGAUGCAGUCAAGAAGAAAAAUUCUUUGUUAUAGCUGCAUUUGACAGGCUCCUUGUUUUACUCAGAUUUAUUUGAAAGAGUGAGGAAAUAAUGCCUGGAAAAUUCAUACAAAUAUGAUAUUAUGUGAGGAUCCAGAAGGGAGAAAUAGAAAAAAAAAUCCAAAACAAACCCCCUAGCAACAACCAAGUAUGAUGCAGAGGCCGAUAGAAGUUUUUUUCAGGGAUUGGGAAGUUCAUAAAAAUGUUUACUAAAAUUGUUAUCCAUCUGUAUUUAUUCCACUAAACCAAGGAAAUACCUUUAUAUUUUCUUGCAUGUAAGGGGAAAAUCAUUGAAACAU